rnacentral:rRNA from 1 species
CCUACGGGAGGCAGCAGUGAGGAAUAUUGGUCAAUGGGCGAAAGCCUGAACCAGCCAUGCCGCGUGAAGGAUGAAGGCCCUCAGGGUUGUAAACUUCUUUUGUACGGGACGAAACCCUUGAACGUGUUCGAGGCUGACGGUACCGUACGAAUAAGCAACGGCUAACUCCGUGCCAGCAGCCGCGGUAAUACGGAGGUUGCAAGCGUUAUCCGGAUUCAUUGGGUUUAAAGGGUGCGUAGGCGGGACGGUAAGUCAGUGGUGAAAGCCUGCAGCUUAACUGUAGAAUUGCCAUUGAUACUGCUGUUCUUGAGUGCAGCUGAGGUGGGCGGAAUGUGUAGUGUAGCGGUGAAAUGCUUAGAUAUUACACAGAACACCGAUUGCGAAGGCAGCUCACUAAACUGUAACUGACGCUGAGGCACGAAAGCGUGGGGAGCAAACAGGAUUAGAUCCCCUUGUAGU